ACCAGGAUGCUGCAGCCUGCCGGCGACCACGUCCCUGACCUUCUCCCCACGCCGGCAACAUACCUGCUUCUGACGCCAUCCGGCUUCCUCUCCGCCCCGGCCCCGGCCCCGGCCCCGCCAGUGAGUCCUCUGCUUUUUCCAGACAAUUCAAUGCCUCGGUUUCUGGCUCGGCGUCGACAUUGGUGGUUGUCAUGCUUCUGGUUUUUAUGGUCUUUAUAUGUUCAGGAGGACUUCCUCCUCUCGGAUGCUGUCGACAAAAAUGAGUAAAACGGAUAGGUGCAUCUUGCUGCCUUUCGAUAAUAAUUUUCUGCUGUUUUGGCUGCCUAUGCAUUACAAUCGCCAGGUGAAUACCCUAGCUACCUUUGUAUGGUGGUACAGACCAAUGCGGCAGCGAUGGCGAGGAACCGCAGCUCCAAGUUCAGGACUACGCCGGAGACAAGAACGACUCAUAGUAAGGUGCAUCCUGCUGCCUUCUCUGAUCAAUCCGUGAUAUUUUGGCAGCCACGCAAUUGUUGCUGCACAGAAAGGUUCAGAUCAUACCAGUGUUGAAUAGCACCAAGCUGAGCGUACCAGGAGGCGGUGUUGGAGGGUGGACCAGGACUCCACUUGUGCUUUCAGAUUUUUUUGCCGCCACUUAUCUUGAAUGUGGAUUGUGCCUUGGAGCUGGAAAAUGGGUGGCUGGGCUGCUGCUAUUACUGCUUAGGCUCUCAUACGACGGACUUAGACUGCUGAGCGCUGGCACAUGGCGAAAGUUCAUGAUUGGGUCAUGCUGGUAGACCCCAAUGUCGGCGACAGCAUUGAUGGCGCCGUGCAUGAAGGUUCAGUAGGGCGCCUGGGUACAUGAUGGUGACUUCCUCCUCCACUAGAACGCAUGCCGCCACCUGGGAUAAGAACGAACCACUAUGGAGUAGUCCAAGCGUUUAGCGGGUGGAUCUGGGCCAAGGGAGCUGUGUUGCUGGUUCGAGGAUGGUGUUUGUUGAGUGCGACCUGGAGAAGAAGAACAACUUGGUAUCGUGGCGGCCAAGUACUUACGGCCCAUUAGAUACUACAAUGACCGUACGAGUGUACCGCAAAGUUAGUAGUCCUGAGCAUGGAGGGGCUAUAGCUGGGCAAUGGGAGCAACAUCACUGUCUUGAGGCUGGACUUGGUUGAGUGUGACCUGAAGAAUCAGGGCAAGUCUGGCAUUGUGGCGACCAAGUGCUUACCUGCGCUUAAACACAAUGAAGAGCUUACAGGAGCACCGCCAAGGGAGUAGUCCUGAGCGUGGAGCAGCUGGAGCUGGUCCAAGGGAUCCUCGUUGCUGGUUCGAGGCUGUUGUUGGUUGAGUACGACCUGGAGAAGUAUGGCUAGUUGGGCAUUGUGGCAGCCAAGUACUCAUGGCUGCUUAGAUACUACAAUGAUCCUACACAAGAGGACCACCUAGGUCAAUGAAGCACCAGAACCCACCACCGGUCUCCUGUGCGGGCGUUGGUCUCAGACAAUGCAUGUCCACGCAGCUUGGAGCUGCUGCCAGCGUCUUCCACCGGGGGAUCCGGCAUUGCUGUUCGACUGGUUGUGGCCUACCAUGCUUCGUGUGCGGUGGUAGGCUUGGCUGGCUCUGGGCUUCACUAAGCUUGUCAUUGUGUUGCUACUGCGGUUGCGGUGUUGUCUUGGCAUUGGCUACACCCCUCUCCGGUAAUAGUCAUAUGGAGCGGCUGUCGCUGGCAAAGGGUGCAGUGUCGCUGUCUUGAGGCUGGACGUGGUUGAGUGUGACCUGGAGAAUCAGGGCGAGUCAGGCAUUGUGGUGGGCUGGUGGCCAAGUGCUUACGUGCGCUUAAAUACUAUGCUGAGCUUACGGCAUCACCACCAAGGGAGUAGUCCCAAGCGUGGAGCGGCCGCAGAUGGGCCAAGGGCGGAAGUCUGAUAGGGCUUCAAGAGAUAGGGAAAACUGCGGUAAGAAAGACCCACUCAGUGAAUUGAUGGAUCGCACACUUGGAGACAGGGACAGAUUUCCGACCUAAGCAGAGGCAGGCCACGAAGGGUGGUCAAUAAUCCAUUUAGGUGACUCAUCGAACCCCAAUUUGACCGCUCACAUCGCUCCUUGACACGAAGGCUUGCUUCCCUUUCUUGUUUUUGGUGGCGUCUAUAGCGAAGAAGACCUCCGCGAAUGAGGGAGAGUCGAGCAUUGUGGCGACCAAGUACUCGUGGCUGCUUAGAUACUACAACAAGCCUGCAAGAGCACCGCCCAGAAUGAUGCACCCUGGAGCCCUUUGUCGUAAAUGUGCGUUGGCCCCAAACAACACCUCUUCACACAGCUUGUAGCUGCUGCGAGCGUAUCCCACCGAGGGCUCCGGCGCUAUUGCUGGGCUGGCUGUGGCCCACCAUGCUUCGUGUGAGGUGGUAGGCUUGGCUGUCCCUAGGCUUUGCCUACCUCUUGGUCAUUGUGGUGCAACCUCCGUGGCGUUGUUGUGUCAGCCUUGGCUGCACCCCUCUCCGGUAUAGAAGCUGUUACCAAUAGCAGGUAACAACCAGACGAUGGUAUGUUGCUGGGGACACGAUAAGAAGAGGAGGUGGGGAAAAAGGGGCACUAGGGGCUGUGCUAGUGUUGUGGUGGACAUGACACCACACCACCAACUCCUAGUCAUUCUCUGAGCAACAGUGUCGUGGUGGAUGAGCUCCAUGAACCCAGCAAUGGAAGAGUAGAGUAGAGGAUUGAGGAAGCAUUGAGCAAUUAUAGUGCAUGGACAGAGAUACCAUCAGUACAAGAUAAUCAUGUUGGUGUAGGAUUUCCAACUUAUGAAUGAAGAGGUACAGAAGCUGUGACCAAUAGUAACUUGGCUAAGCCUGGGACUGGGAGGAGCUAUAGCAGGUAACAACCAGACGAUGGUAUGUUGCUGGGGACACGAUCAGAAGAUGAGGUGAGGAAAAAGGGGCACUAGGGUCUCUGCCAGUGUUGUCGUGCACAUGGCACCACACCACCACCUCCUACUCAUUCUCUGAAGAGUGUCGUGGUGAUGAGCUCCAUGGACCCAACAAUGGAAGGGCAGAGUAGAGGAUUGAGGAAGCAUUGAGCAAUUAUAGUGCACGAACAGAGAUACCAUCAUUACAAGAUUACCAUGUUGGUGUAGGAUUUCCAACUGAUGAAUGAAGAGGAUCCUGCCGAAGCUAAGAAGCAAGAUACAUGGCGGCCCAAGUCCAUGCUAUUGUUGCUGCCGUGUUCGUUGACAGAUGCCGCCAGCUUUGCCACCUACAGCGGCAUCGGCGGGAAGUGGGUGUCCAGAAUGUGGAAGUGCGGCUGCCAGUCACUCCAAGAAUGAUGCACCCUGGAGCCCUUUGUCGUAAAUGUGCGUUGGUCCCAAACAACACCUCUUCACACAGCUUGUAGCUGCUGCGAGCGUAUCCCACCGAGGGCUCCGGCGCUGUUGCUGGGCUGGCUGUGGCCCACCAUGCUUCGUGUGAGGUGGUAGGCUUGGCUGUCCCUAGGCUUUGCCUACCUCAUGGUCAUUGUGGUGCAACCUCCGUGGCGGUGUUGUGUCAGCCUUGGCUGCACCCCUCUCCGGGGAGCUCCUUGCCUCCCUUUCUUGCUUUGUUGGGCGUGGAGCCGCGGCUAUUUUGUGCGCUGUCUAUGUGUGGUAUAGAAGCUGUUACCAAUAGCUGGUAACAACCAGACGAUGGUAUGUUGCUGGGGACACGAUCAGAAGACGAGGUGAGGAAAAAGGGGCACUAGGGGCUGUGCUAGUGUUGUGGUGGACAUGACACCAUACCACCAACUCCUAGUCAUUCUCUGAGCAACAGUGUCGUGGUGGAUGAGCUCCAUGAACCCAGCAAUGGAAGAGUAGAGUAGAGGAUUGAGGAAGAUUUGAGCAAUUAUAGUGCAUGGACAGAGAUACCAUCAGUACAAGAUAAUCAUGUUGGUGUAGGAUUUCCAACUUAUGAAUGAAGAGGAUCCUACUGAAGCUAAGAAGCAAGAUACAUGGCGUCCCAAGGCCAUUCUAUUGUUGCUGUCGUGUUCGUUGACAGAUGCUGCCAGCUCUUCCACAUACAGCGGCAUCGGAGGGAAGAGGAUGUACAGAAUGUGAAAGUGCAGCUGCCAGCCAUUCUCAGGAUUAUUGAGAGCAAGAGUAUAUGGCAGCUAGCAUAUGAAUUUAGAAGCUGCAGAUGCUCCCCGCAGCAGCCUGGUACAUCAUGGCCUUGCUCUUUGACUCUGUUUGUUUUGUGGCAUGUAGACGUACGGUUGCUGGAUUUUAGUCGAAACCCUAUGAUGAUUUUAGUCAAAACCAUCAGGUUUUGGUCUUGUACGAGGAUAUCAUGGAGGAUUAAAUGACGGACCAGGUAGCUGGGACCGGAAACUUCCUCCCUCAGUGGCAAUAUAUGCGGAAAGCUGUCCUGGCUCGUGUAGUGGUCCUGCUCCUGCUGUGCUGGACAGAGGCGGGCUGGCGUUGCAGCUUCCUUUUGAGCAUUGUUUGAUUAUGUCCGGCGAGGCUUGUGAAUUGUACUAUAAAUUAUUUAUGUAUGUUGUGUAUGUACGACAAAGAACAGAUGUCAUGCCGAAAUUUUUAGUACUCCGGCGAAUAAACCUUGAAUUCAUAUUUAGCUAAGAAAAGGAGAGGAAGUUCUCAAA